rnacentral:RNase_P_RNA from 1 species
AGUUGGCCAGACAAUCGCCGAGUUGCUUUAUAUAGCGAUUUCGGAGGAAAGUCCGGGCUCCAUCGGAAAGGGCGCCAGGUAACGCCUGGAGGACGAGAGUCCAUGGAAAGUGCCACAGAAAAUAAACCGCCUAAGCGCACAUGGCGCCGGUAAGGGUGAAAUGGUGUGGUAAGAGCGCACCGCGCGGGUGGUAACACACCGCGGCAGGGUAAACCCCGCCUGGAGCAAGACCAAAUAGAGGAGUAUGCGGACUUAAGUUUGCACUGCCUGUUCCGAGCAGACUCCAGGGUAGGUUGCUAGAGGCGAUCGGCGACGGUCGCCCCAGAUGAAUGAUUGUCCACGACAGAACCCGGCUUAUUGCU